UAUGUUCAUAGAUGGUUUAUUUGUUGUUAUCAGUAGUGCAGUCUAAGCAACUUGUUUUCAUACACAAACACUUGGCACUUAGCACUGAUUAGUCCUAGUUCUAAUUUCACAAAACUUUCAUUUCUCGGCUCAGGGCUGAACUAGACUGGGCUUUGCGAGGGUCGGCUAAUCCAAGCAGUACUUCUGUAUUUCGAACAGAGCGCAGGGUGGGAGGAAAACAAACAAAUGGUUGAAGAGGAAGCCAUCUUUACACAUUUCAUAAAAACUAAAACAGAUUAAAAGUGAACUCCAGACUAUUUGGCUAAUGGGAUCUGUUAAAUGUGGAUUUAAGGGUUGAUUUAGUCUCUCCUCUCACCCUUCUCGUGCUCUCUGGGGUUGUAGAAGAAGCCUCGGUCCCCACAUACCAGGUAAAGGGCAUCCACCAGGUGAGAGCCACACAGGUGUUGAGGGACGAUACCAGCCUCAGUGCUCGGCCAUGACACAACCAGUAAAACCAGCAGAGACACAGACUGGAGCCACAGAGCUGCCAUGAUGGAGGAGACCUGAACA